GUCACAACUGGUGAGCUGUGAGUGUGCGUCACACCUGAAACCUGCCGGCGCUUCUCAAAAGGCAGCGUCAGCACCGUCAGGAACUAGAUGCUGAGUACCAGAAAAGUGCAGUGGCAGGACUCACGCGGACUUAAUUUGGUCACGGGGAUUAAAGAAGAAAAGAAAACUGGAUAAAAUUCCAAAGAAAGAAUAACUGGAGGAACUGUUACUGAAGAAAUGCAGUGAGCUGAACAAGUUUUCGAAGUUCACGAACUGGGGUGAUGCCUCAGUUAUACAAAUUUUCGAAGACAGCAAAAGGAGCUGGCUUUAGUUUGUUUCUUUUCUUUGUGAACAACAAUUUUGAGGACUCCUCCAUUCGGUUAAGGACUGGGAAUGGAGGACUGAAGCGAGGCAUUUUCUCUUUAAAAAGGACUGGGAAUGGAGGACUGACUCUGGCAGAAGAGGGUGUAAGUGAAGAAGAUCCCAGGACUCAGGGAAGAACUUCCAAACCACACAAGUAAACAUCCGCUUCCCCCACCCACCCAGGGACUCUGAGUUUUCACUUCCUGCAACUCAAGAUCCUCAUCUACCAUACUGCUGAGUACAGAUAGCUCACUGAUGGUACCUAAGUGGAGAUUAUUUGUUUUUGCUUGAUUUUUAUGACUCCAAGCACUUUCUCUGUCCCUGAUAUGUGCCCUAAGGAUGCAGUACUGUCCUUUGUACUCAAAAACAUUUUUUCUCAGCACACAAAUAUCUGGAGGAUUCAUCUUGCGCGCCAGCAAGAUUUCACAGGCUCGUGAAGCAGGAGCUCUUCACGUGAUGAAAUGUUACUUCGCCUCAUCCUCUGUUCACAAAUGCUGAUAUUUGAGAGACAGUAGGAGGGCCAAGGGCGAAAAUGUCAAGGAUGAAAGCCUGGCCUAGGGAAUCUGCGGGAGACCAGAAGGUUCUUGUUCUAGCCAAGGACAGACAGAGGUCAACAGAGGUGCUUAACUUUCUCUUUUUUUUCCACCUGUAGAGACAAA
rnacentral:lncRNA from 1 species